rnacentral:rRNA from 1 species
UGGAUUAGAUACCCCACUAUGCCUAGCCCUAAACUUUGAUAUUCUCCGCCUGGGGACUACGAGCGUUAGCUUAAAACCCAAAAGACUUGGCGGUGCCCUAUACCACCUAGAGGAGCCUGUUCUAUAAUCGAUAAUCCCCGAUCAACCUCACCAUCCCUUGCCAAUACCGCCUGUAUACCUCCGUCGUCAACUGACCCCUUAAGGGAAAUAGUUGGUUUAAUGGCUUAUCACCAGAAAGUCAGGUCAAGGUGCAGCGUAUGAGAUGGGAAGAAAUGGGCUACAUUUUCUACCUUUAGACCACACGAAAGAUCAUUAUGAAAUCUGAUUGGAAGGCGGAUUUAGCAGUAAAAAGAGAUUAGAGCGCUCUUUUUAAGUUGGCCCUAGGGCGCGCACACACCGCCCGUCA